rnacentral:rRNA from 1 species
UACGGAGGGUGCAAGCGUUAUCCGGAUUCACUGGGUUUAAAGGGUGCGUAGGCGGGUAUAUAAGUCAGUGGUGAAAGCUCCGGGCCUAACUUGGAAACUGCCAUUGAUACUGUAUAUCUUGAAUGUCGUAGAGGUUAGCGGAAUGUUGCAUGUAGCGGUGAAAUGCUUAGAUAUGUUACAGAACACCAAUUGCGAAGGCAGCUAACUAUGCGAUGAUUGACGCUGAGGCACGAAAGCGUGGGGAGCAAACAGG